UACGGGGGGGGCAAGCGUUGUUCGGAAUUACUGGGCGUAAAGGGUUCGUAGGCGGCCAACUAAGUCGGAUGUGAAAUCCCCAGGCUUAACCUGGGAACUGCAUCCGAUACUGGAUGGCUUGAAUCCGGGAGAGGGAUGCAGAAUUCCAGGUGUAGCGGUGAAAUGCGUAGAUAUCUGGAGGAAUACCGGUGGCGAAGGCGGCAUCCUGGACCGGCAUUGACGCUGAUGAGCGAAAGCUAGGGGAGCAAACGGG
rnacentral:rRNA from 1 species